rnacentral:piRNA from 1 species
UACAAUAAAUGGUGAACUUUGUGGAGAUGG